GACGAACGCUGGCGGCGUGCUUAACACAUGCAAGUCGAACGGAGUGGCUACCGGGUGAGUAACACGUGGGUGACCUGCCCUGCACUUCGGGAUAAGCCUGGGAACAUGGGUCUAAUACCGGAUAUUGAGGGCUGGGCCCGCGGCCUAUCAGCUUGUUGGUGGGGUAAUGGCCUAACAAGGCGGCGACGGGUAGCCGGCCAGAGAGGGUGGACGGCCACAUUGGGCCUUAGAAGCCGGCCAGACUCCUACGGGAGGCAGCAGUGGGGAAUAUUGCACAAUGGGCGGAAGCCUGAUGCAGCGACGCCGCGUGGGGGAUGAGGGCAUUCGGGUUGUAAACUCCUUUCACCAUCGACGCGGUAGAUGGAGAAGAAGCACCGGGUAACUACGUGCCAGCAGCCGCGGUAAUAC
rnacentral:rRNA from 1 species